rnacentral:misc_RNA from 1 species
CGUCGCUCGGUCCAUACGCUUCCUUCAUCGUCACAUCCUAUGCGCUGGUCGCGUUCGUCGUCGCGGCGCUCAUCGUCUGGAUUGCGCUCGACUUCCGCCGCCAGACGCAAACCUUGCGCAAGCUCGAAGCCGGCGGCGNCGCAACUGCCCGGCAAAUCAUCAUGAGCAACGAGGGCGCGGCGCGACCAAAAUCUCGCUCGUGGCUGGUGGCGCUGCCGCUGAUCGCGUUCGCCGUAUUGGCCGGGCUGUUCUGGUUC